GAGUGGGGGAGUAACGUAGCGAAAGUUACGCUAAUACCGCAUACGAUCUAAGGAUGAAAGCAGGGGAUCUUCGGACCUUGUGCUCCUGGAGCGGCCGAUAUCUGAUUAGCUAGUUGGUGAGGUAAAGGCUCACCAAGGCCACGAUCAGUAGCUGGUCUGAGAGGACGACCAGCCACACUGGAACUGAGACACGGUCCAG
rnacentral:rRNA from 1 species